UCACUUUAUAUAAUUUGAUCAUUACCUUUAAGCUUUGUUUCUUAAUUUUAAUGACUAUUGUUUGUGACUUGUCAGUAAGUUAUCUAAUCUUGGACUGACUGGGUCGUUGCCUUAUGGAUUUGAAAGUUUGACAUCUUUGAGCGCCCUAGACAUGAGUGGCAACAGUCUUGGCGGCAGCAUACCAUACCAGCUCCCUCCAUAUGUGCAGCGAUUAAAUCUUGCUUAUAAUAAUAUCACAGGGACUGUUCCUUACUCUUUCAAACUUGAACGCUCUUACAAACCUGUGUGUAAUUUUCUUCUUGUAAAUUUAUCAUAGUUGUACUACAUUGACCACCACU